ensembl:lncRNA
UGCAGAUUUCAUGAGAAACUCCCCUGUGUAGAUCAUUGGAACAGCUCGUAUCUACAUGGCAGAACAUUUAAGCAUGCAGUUAUAGACACAUUGAAGUGCAUUUCCAAAUGCUUUGAUGAUUCUGGCUCGUUGUUGGAUCCUAAGGGCUGAGAAAGGAAAUAGGACAUAUCCAAGCUUAGGUUUUGGCUGGAAGAUGUUUGGGGAAAUUUGUCUUUCCAUAUAGAUAUAGAAAGCUAGCAAAGCUCUGGUACAGGGUGAGAAUUCAAACCUUGGAAAGUAGGAUUUGACCUGUACACACAAAUAUGUAAUUCUUUUUCAUAAGAACAACAACAACAACAAAAAAUCCAUUUAUAGAAACUAUUGUUCUGGGGAGGUAAACAAGCUACAUGGAUCUGAGAAAAAAAAUGGUGCAUGUCUACUGACAACAGAAUGAAGUACAAAGGCCUUGGAUAUAAUAUACUGCUCCUGUAGACUGCAAUGGUCUCUGCAGGCUCCAGCAUAGAUAUGAUGGACAUGUGUAUAGAUUCUGUGGACAUCCUCGGGAAAAAACUCCAGCCAUGAUUGGACCAGCUGCUUUUUUAAUGACAAGCGCUGCCUCAGAACUUCUGGAGCCGAGUCUCCUUGCGCACUGCAGUGUCAACUGCCACAGCACUGAUGUACCUCUGGGUGAACAAGGACUGCAUAAAAUGAAAGGUUGCCUGUGACUGAAUAAAAGUGAGAAAAUGACCACUGCAGAAAUCAGGAGAACAGCAGAUUAUGAAAUAAAAUAUGGCUAAUUGUCUGGAGACAAUAAGCAAGUCAUUGCCUCAUGUCCAAAGGCUGAAUAUAGCAACUUUGCAAUGGAUCCUCUCAGUCUGAUGGAUUACCUUUCCAAUGGGGAAGAUGAAAGUACAUCUAUGUUUGGUAUAUAUAGUUGAUGAAAUUAUUGAACCAUCUAAUCAUUUUUUAUUUCUGAGAAAGAUUUAAAGAAUACAGGUUGUAUAGAAUAAAUAUUGAGCUACUGAAUGACUCAUUAAUAUAGAAUGCACAUUUUCAUUGGCCUAGAGGUGGAUUGUCAAAUGAUUUAUCAGCAAAAAUAUGUGACUCUUUUCAUUGCUGAAGAACUUUGCAUAUAUAUUAGAUUUAUUGAGUUAAGCAAUUGUAAUUAUCAAAUGGUUUACCUUUGUCUGACAAGUACCAACAUUCUACUCAUAACAUGCGUAUUAUUUUCUUUUAAAACUACUUCUAGUAAUUACUUCUAAUAUCUAAUUACUCCAUAACUGUAGUACACAUUCAUAAAAGUAAAAUGUAUAACAAAAAAAUUCUACCUUAAAAAUGUUAUGAAUUAUGAAGUAAUAGGAACAAAUAGAAGUGAAAUAUAUAUUUAAUUUGCUCACUGAAAUUGAGGGGAUGAAGGUCACAAGAUAUUUUCUUUCCCAAGUGAUAUUUCAGAUCACAGCUCCAAAGUGAUUGGAAGCUUCAGCCCUUAACUGUAAUAUUUUAAAGAAUAAGAUGAGUUUCAAACUGAAAAUAUCACAAAACAGUUUGCUAUAUACAUAUUCUGCCAGCCUCAUAUGUAGGUGAUGUCAAAUUAAAUGAAGUCGUAACUGACUUUAAAAUGUUCAAUAAAACCUUCAAGAAGAAAUUUGUGUAUCAAGUACUGUGCUCCAUAAGCUGGAGAUGUAACCAGAGAUACAAAUUCCUUGGUCCCAGUCUAUUCUAAACGGUACCUGAAAAUUCUCAUUUUUAAUAAUGUAUUCUAGGGCAUGAGAUACAGAACUUUUCCCAUCUUCUAGGAAAUGACUUUUUAUAUUACAUAGUCAUUCUGCUUGAACCUUCCACAGUAUGGUUUACCACAGAACCAUCCAACGGCAGAGAGAGCCAUUGUGGAAAGCACCUUAGUAGCAUACAUUGGAGAAAAGAAAUCUUUUUUUUUGGCUUCUUUUCAUUUUCCUGGCACCACACUUACACAUACUGAGCAGGCAUAAUACUCUCCACUUCUAGAAAUCUUUCACAGUGACAGAUCAGGAUAAGAACAGCAACUUAGGGACUCUUUCAAGUCUUUGUUUUGUAAUUCAGUGUGUUGAAAUGUUUUCUUCGGAAGUAUUUGAUCCUAAAUGCUAAGGAGGUACAUGAUAUAAGGAAAAAUACAUUUGUCUCUGUGCAGGUAUAACUACCAGCAUGACAUCAAAAGAUAAAUUUACAAUGGGAAUGACCUUGAAGAUAAAAAAAUUGGGUUCUUUAACACAACUCUGAUAUACAUACUGUAUUUUUGUUUCUUUAUUACCUGUUUCUAUACAAUAAAAAAAUAAAAUAAAAUAAAAUAAAAAAACAGAAACUGGAUGGUUGGGAGAAGAUUGUCUUAUGAACUUACUUAAUAAGAUUUUUCUUUGCACUGCAGUUACAAUUAUGAUAACUGUCACCUAAACUAAUAUCGUAGGAUUCACAGUCAUAUAUGGAAUUGUGUUUUUUGCUCUUUUAAUAUAAUUUAAUAUUGGUCAAGGUUAGACUACAAUUGGUCUAGACUGCAAUAACACUACCUUACUUGUCAGGCUAGUGACUAAAUUUUUCAUUACUGAAUAUAAAAAUUUAAUACUAUAGUGCAUACUCAUAAAAUCAAUAUUUUGAUGCUUUUGGGACAAUAGAUCUUAGCUAUUUACAUAAAUAUUUUAUGAUUUUUCUUGUAAUCCAUAAACUAAAAAGCUCACUGAAUGUCUAGGCCAAAGGCUAUCCAAUCUUCCACUGGAGUGUAAAUCUUUUUGUAUUCUUUUGACAAGCCCACUUACACAGAUUCAGAAUUUAGAUAGUCUCAUUUUCUUUCUGGAGGUGUAUAUAUUUUUCUUCUUUCCCUUUCCCUUUCCUUUCCCAUCCUCUCUUUCUCUCUUUCUUCGUCUUCUUCCUUCCUUCCCUCUUUUUUUUUUUCUGUUCUAUACUUUCUGUUGUUGUGUUUGUUUUUUGUCUGAU